rnacentral:antisense_RNA from 1 species
CUUAACGGGCGGACUUGUGGGGCACUGCAAAGUGCGCCAGAUUGCCUUUGGACUGGUACGCCAACCCGCAAGUCCCGCUCACCCUA